UACGAGGGGUGCAAGCGUUGCUCGGAAUUAUUGGGCGUAAAGGGUAGGUAGGUGGUCUGAUUUGUCAGGGGUGAAAGCCUUGGGCUUAACCCAAGAAGUGCCCCUGAAACGGUCAGACUUGAGUCUUGGAGAGGGUCGUGGAAUUCCCGGUGUAGCGGUGAAAUGCGUAGAGAUCGGGAGGAACACCGAUGGCGAAGGCAGCUCGCUGGGACGGUACUGACGCUGAGACGCGAAAGCGUGGGGAGCGAACAGG
rnacentral:rRNA from 1 species